UCUGCCCGCUGGCGGCGUGCCUAAUACAUGCAAGUCGAGCGAACGGACGAGAAGCUUGCUUCUCUGAUGUUAGCGGCGGACGGGUGAGUAACACGUGGAUAACCUACCUAUAAGACUGGGAUAACUUCGGGAAACCGUAGCUAAUACCGGAUAAUAUUUUGAACCGCAUGGUUCAAAAGUGAAAGACGGUCUUGCUGUCACUUAUAGAUGGAUCCGCGCUGCAUUAGCUAGUUGGUAAGGUAACGGCUUACCAAGGCAACGAUGCAUAGCCGACCUGAGAGGGUGAUCGGCCACACUGGAACUGAGACACGGUCCAGACUCCUACGGGAGGCAGCAGUAGGGAAUCUUCCGCAAUGGGCGAAAGCCUGACGGAGCAACGCCGCGUGAGUGAUGAAGGUCUUCGGAUCGUAAAACUCUGUUAUUAGGGAAGAACAUAUGUGUAAGUAACUGUGCACAUCUUGGCGGUACCUAAUCAGAAAGCCACGGCUAACUACGUG
rnacentral:rRNA from 1 species